rnacentral:misc_RNA from 4 species
AACGCACAUUGCGCCCCCUGGUAUUCCGGGGGGCAUGCCUGUUCGAGCGUCAUUACAACCCUCAAGCUCUGCUUGGUGUUGGGCCCCGCCGCCCCGGCGGGCCCUAAAAUCAGUGGCGGUGCCGUCCGGCUCCGAGCGUAGUAAUUCUUCUCGCUCUGGAGGUCCGGGUGUGUGCUCGCCAGCAACCCCCAAUUUUUUUCAGGUUGACCUCGGAUCAGGUAGGGAUACCCGCUGAACUUAA